rnacentral:rRNA from 1 species
AGAAUUUGAUCUUGGUCAGGAUGAACGCUAGCUACAGGCUUAACACAUGCAAGUCGAGGGGCAGCAGAUCGAAAGCUUGCUUUGGAUGCUGGCGACCGGCGCACGGGUGAGUAACGCGUAUCCAACCUUCCCUAUAGUAGAGAAGUAGCCCGGCGAAAGUCGGAUUAAUGCUCUAUGUUGUAUUUAGAGGACAUCUGAAAGAAUACCAAAGGUUUUACCGCUAUAGGAUGGGGAUGCGUCUGAUUAGGUAGUAGCGGGGUAACGGCCCACCUAGCCGACGAUCAGUAGGGGUUCUGAGAGGAAGGUCCCCCACAUUGGAACUGAGACACGGUCCAAACUCCUACGGGAGGCAGCAGUGAGGAAUAUUGGUCAAUGGACGGAAGUCUGAACCAGCCAAGUAAGCGUGCAGGAUGACGGCCCUAUGGGUUGUAAACUGCUUUUAUAUAGGGAUAAAGUCGGGGACGUGUCCCCGUUUGUAGGUACUAUAUGAAUAAGGACCGGCUAAUUCCGUGCCAGCCGCUGC